rnacentral:pre_miRNA from 1 species
CCACAGAGUUCUUGUGUGUACCGAGGCGCUUGAGGGUGCGCCGUUAGAUGAGGGAUCCAACGGCGCACCUUCAAGUGCUCCGGGAUCCACGAGAAAUCUGUGG